rnacentral:rRNA from 1 species
AUUGAACGCUGGCGGCAGGCCUAACACAUGCAAGUCGAGCGAGCGGCGGACGGGUGCGUAAUGUCUGGGAAACUGCCUGAUGGAGGGGGAUAACUACUGGAAACGGUAGCUAAUACCGCAUACCAUCAGAUGUGCCCAGAUGGGAUUAGCUAGUAGGUGGGGUAACGGGUCACCUAGGCGACGAGCCCUAGCGGGUCGGAGAGGUUGACCAGCCACACUGGAACGGAGACACGGUCCAGAUGCCUACGGGAGGCAGCAGGGGGGAAUAUUGCGCAAUGGGCGAAAGCCUGAUGCAGCCAUGCGGCGUGUGUGAAGAAGGCCUUCGGGUUGUAAAGCACUUUCAGCGGUGAGGCGUUACCCGCAGAAGAAGCACCGGCUAACUCCGUGCCAGCCGCCGCGGUAAUUC